UACGGGGGGAGCAAGCGUUGUUCGGAUUUACUGGGCGUAAAGGGCGCGUAGGCGGCCACCGCAAGUCGACUGUGAAAUCUCCGGGCUUAACUCGGAAAGGUCAAGUGAUACUGUCGGACUAGAGUACAGAAGGGGCAACUGGAAUUCUCGGUGUAGCGGUGAAAUGCGUAGAUAUCGAGAGGAACACCUGCGGCGAAGGCGGGUUGCUGGGCUGAUACUGACGCUGAGGCGCGAAAGCUAGGGGAGCGAACGGG
rnacentral:rRNA from 1 species